AGCUGCGCAGUGGUCACAGAGCGAACUAUUCUUUCGCCUUUUACUAAAGAAUACCGUGUGCCCGCUGCACUAAGCAGCAUACGACUAUUUUUGGAGGGUUCUUCUUCUUCUUUGUGAGGAG
rfam:Sorghum bicolor cultivar BTx623 chromosome 1, whole genome shotgun sequence.